rnacentral:sRNA from 1 species
GGGGAGGCUUGACUGAAAGCAUAGAUGGGGUACAGAAAAUGAGAAGAAAUGUCUUUUGCACAUUCCUUCCCACCAGCCCCUUAGCCCCUGUCAUUUUUUUCUGACCUACAUUUCUCUUUGGAAACAUUUGCUGAUUUUUUUUUUGAGGGUUGAAAUUGAAAUUCUCAGCCUAUGAAAGCCCAGGAAUAUUGAGGGAUCCGAAAACCAACAGCUAGUGUCUAAUAAGUACCUACAAUUGCUAGAGUCUAAGCAUUGCAUUCAGUUCUUCUUCAGAGAGUCAUAUGUAGUAUGGCGCCGGUCUGAUUUUCACCCCCAUUGUUUUUCAUCUAUGAAACAGAACAAAGAAAUUGCGUAGCCACAGAGAGACUGACUUUCUAGAGGGGUUGGUUCCUGUUGGACUAUAUGAGGUUGGAGAGUCUAAUGGUGUAUAAGCUAUCGCUGGCAACCAAAAGCCAAGAACAUAAAAUAUAACAUGAGGUCACAAUGACACCUUAUAGGGGACAGUGUAUUUUGAGGUCAGGCAUUUAGGUGUGGGAUUGUCUAGCUGUGCAACUUCAGACUGGUCAUUCUUCUCUUUCCACUUUUACAGGCAGAAUCAGAUUAAUGGCAGUCCCUCAUGGUUUUAAAAAUUGUUCAAAGAGUUUAAAACCCAUAGCACUGUGUGUGUCUUGAUCUUACCCUGAGGCCUGGACGAGCUUAGCUGUGGCUCUUGUAUGCAGGGCCUUUCACAUAGUCCCAUCUGCAGCAGUCAGUGAUAACACAGUUGUGAAGUAUAUACCCAGGGUUUUCUCUUGGCUAGCAUAUGUGGGAAAUCAGUCAGAAAAAAGUUUUCUCAUUCGUACACAUGAGACAGUCACCUCCACACUCACGCAUUUAUUUAUUUUCCUAGGUUCUAACAAACCCUUAUUAGGCAUGAGAGUUCAUGUGGGUAAAAGUGUAGCAUGUGACCUUGGGAGUCGUGAUCUCACUCCUGGGUCUUUCUCUCCUUCUCUCCCUGUUUCCCUAGCCAUGUCCCCCUCAGAGAAGCUGUAUCCCCUGUCCAACCCUGUUUUCUUUCUUGUAAUAUUAAAAUCCAUAGAUGCUGCGAGAGAGAUAAACUAUAUGGAAGGCUGUAGAAAUUAUUACACAAACACCAGUAUUGCUGAAUAUGGAAAGGAACACAUUAAGAAAUAUGAUAUUUGGGAAUACAUGCUGAAACAAACAAUGGCUAGAAUAUGGGCCAGUCCCAGGGUGUGAAGCAUGAUGGGAAAAAUGAGCAUGGCCUCUAGUUGCCUUUACUAUAGGUUACUGGUUUGAGUCUGUAUGAGCCAUUUCUACUUGCCUCAGUUUCUCCUUGCGCCCCAGGUUGAGUUGUUGAUGGAAUUAGAUAAUUAGACACGCUCAGUCAGCCCUUUCUAAAUAGGAGUGUUAUAAAUAAGGUCUCACAUAGACUGCUCAGCACCUUUGUGAGGGAAGCAAAAAGACUUUCCAAAUGAGUUUCAUCUUUCAAAACAACAGAGGAGGGAAAAUGACCCUUCAGAGUUUCCUUAAAUAGACUUUUCCACCUCUGUAGGUGAUAAAAACAAAAGAAGGGGGGACCAAGGACCUACUGCAAAGGGCUGAUGGGACCAACCAGACAAGACUUAUGAAUGAAUCCAGCUUUCGUGAACUAGUACUGAAACCCCACCUGGUUUCCAUUGGUCCUUUUCUUCCCUAGAGAAUAUGACUGUCCAGCUAAGUUGCCCACAUUUUAAGAGGAAGCCAAACAAGAGAAGGCUCGACCACGCUGAUCUGAGAAACAGAAAGUGCAAGAUACAAGAGCUCUGCCUGCUGCUCAGUGGCAAGCUUGACUGGCUGCUAAAACUCUCUUGGGAACAAGGAAAAUGCCACAGGAGAGGAUUUCUAGAGUUCUGUGGCAUCUUUAACAAGUCUGAUGCAGAUAGAAGCAACCUGAAAUACUCUCGAGGGACACUUGGAGCAUUUAGUAAAUAAUGAUGAAGGAAGAGGAGCAUCUGUGUGUGCACAUAUAUGUGCAUAUGUGUUAGGUGGUGACAGCAGACUCGCUUGGUCAGCUGUGCAUCCUGCCAGAUGUGCACCAUGCAAUGUAGCACAGUGAGGCAGAGGCAUCACAGUAAGCAGAAUUCAGAGUUCACAGUCUGACCCAGAGAUGCAGAUUGCAUUUAACUGUACCCAUCGACGUGCAACUAGUGGCUGCCUUAUUGGACAGCACCAAGGAAAAGACUGCUAAUGGUGUGAAAUGCCACAGAACAAGGAAGAACAUGACAGAAUUUUCAUGGGACUCAUCAGACUGAGGAGGAUGGCUUCGGAAGGAUGCAGACGAAUCGUUGCCUCCCACAGUUCCCUCUCAACUUUGCCCUGCUGGGCUCUCUCCAUUCAAUUAUGUUUCUCCAGCUUCCAAUUUUUUUUCUACCACCAACCCACUCAGUCAUUUUCUGCCAAUGGCAGGCUCUGGAAAGCAGUUCCCUCAGGCCUCCCAGUGACAGGUGCCUGGGCUGUUCUAGUGCUGUUUACAGGAAGUACUUGAACUAUUCUAGCCACAAAGGGUGAGCUCUUUGCAUUUUUUCCCAAGUCAGCUAAGGAACAGGAAGCCAUGUUCAAUUGUUGCUUGCCCAAGAGUGAUGCUCAUAGCCCUCUCCUGGUUGGUGUUUUUCCGAACAAUGGAAAUAAAUCUGAUGUAAUGUAGCAGAACACGACAAAGGACGGCUUUCCCCUUAACAAAUCCUCAUUUGAAAUGGUGCCCAAACCCUGCACGAGGAGCGAUCUAUUUCCCACAACAGUGUUACAGCAAAACCCAUUACUAAUUCCACAACUCAAAUUAAAACUAACAGAGCUUGAAGGCUGGGGCUGACACUCUCUCUGCUGACAAGGAACAAGGAAGGGUGGAGGAAGGAGCCGGCUCACUCUCAUGUGUGUGUGUUUAAUUACACUGUUUAACACAUGGAGAAUAAUUUAGUCACCAGAGUGGAGAAAAUAAGGCACUUAACUGCUCUCUGGUGGAAAAACACCCGGAGCAAACCACUUUUAGCUAUAUGGCACCUUGACAUACCUCAGAGCUUUGGGGAGAGAAAAAGAGGGAGGGGAGCAAGGGGGAAGAGAGAGAGAGAGAAAGAGAGAGAGAGAGAGAGAGAGAGAGAGAGAGAGAGAGAGAGACCAGUGAGAUAGAGCCAAGGAGAGUGUGCAACUAGGGGCAGAGAAAGACAGGAGAGGGGAAGGAGGGGAAGAAAGAAGAAAGAGAAAAUGGAAGGAACAGGAAGUGGACAGAGAAGAAGCAAGGGAGAGCGAUAUAGGAAGAAAGAGACCUUGGCACAUAGAUUUAUACUCUCAGGAGAGCUUGAGGGAUUUGGUGCCAGUGUGAGAGUGAGCACUGAUGGCAGGCCUUGAAGAUGGAGCUAAACUUCUGGGUGAGUGUUGACCUGAGUUCUGUUCAUGCCUCAGAUACCUCAGGAAGAUACGAGUCCUCCAUAGCCUAAAAGCCAUGGGCGGAGAAAGGCAGAUGUAAGAGGGAGAUUCUGGUAGUUUCUUUUCCUGUUGUUGUGUAAAUACUUUAUCAAAAGCAACUUUAGGGAGAAAGGAACUGUUUUAGUUCAUAGUUCAAGGUAUAGCCUAUCACCGUGGGGAUUCAAGACAGGAGGGGACUUGGAUCGAGUUACAUCACACCUGUCAUUGGAAAUAGAGGGGUACAUGCAUGUGCUCAGUUCUCUUUCUCCAUUUUAUAUCGUGUAGGAUUCCCCUGUUAGGGAAUAAUGCCAUUCAAAGUUUAAACGGGCCUUUCCACAUCAAUUAAUGUGAUGAAGGUAAUCCCCUUCAGGUCUGCCCAUGACCUUAUCUGUUAGUUUAUUACAGAUCCAGUCAAGCUGACAAGCAGCGUCUUCAUAAAGAUUGUAGCGGGUUCCAUUUGCAGAAAAGGAAACCAAGGCUCAAAGUCAAGCUUGAGGAGCUGGGCAACACUGGUGGGCUUCUGUGCUAGCCCCUGGCUUCAAGGCUGGAAAUCUGGCCUGCAAGUAACCUAUGUACUAUGCCCUUAAUCAGGGCUGAAAGGGAUUGGAGUACACAAGUGUCUUCCAUUCUCUGAGAUAAUCUCUAAUCCACCAACUGGCCAUGGGAGUGGGGGACAUGAGAGAAACCAGGCUCGGAUUUAGAAGCAGUGAAGCGUCUCAGCUCUGCAGCAGGUGCCAGGGAAGUGAGCGCUCAGAAUAGAACUAUCUAGCGUCUGCCAGUGAUGGGGCUUAGCUUCAGUGCAGGCUGCCAAGGAGACUGACAACUUGGCAUGAGAGCACAGAGUGCAGAAGAUUGCUUCUGUAGGUCAGCAGACAUGCAGUCACACCAUCCUUUUUCCCACUGUUCUGGCACACGGACCCAGCACCCAUCUUCCCAUCCUCCCAUCCUCCCAUCCCGCUCACAGCCUCUCAACCUCUGAACCUUACAGCCUCACAGCCUCCCAUUCUCCUAGUCUCCAGCUUCCCAGCCUCCCAGCCUCCCAGCCUCCCAGCCUCCCAGCCUCAGAGCGUUCAUAGAGCUUAACUGAUAGGAACAUGUCAGGAAAGCCCAGUGACGGAGAGAAUGGAAAGGAUCUAUGUGUCCUCUCUCAUCUCAGACACAACGUUGCCUCCUCUAGACUCAGUUUCUCCCUUUGGAAGAUUAAGAAAAUUGGACUUUCUUUUCUAAGUUUCAUUAGCCCCUUUAAAUAUAUGGUCUGAUUUCCGAUGCUAAGAAUAGGUAUGGACCCUAAAAAUUUCCAGAGGAGUAUGGCUGAGUUCCUUGUUAUUCUGUUUAAGUAAGUUUGUAUCCCAACACCCACAAGGAAGACAGUUUGUCUUGGUAUCUUUUCUCUAUCGAAGGAUCUUUGAUGGGUGUCACUCUGUUAGGAAAGACACCUAGAAAGCUCUUGAGCAGAUUCUUAGCUUUAUUCUACCAACAAGGUAGGCUUCCUUCUGGAUUCUACAGCUGGAUGCACUCCAGAGAAAUUGUAUAGGAUUUGCCACAUUCCUAGACUUCUGGGGGUAGGUUUUUUUCAUCUAUGAGGAAAACUUAACUUAUUCAAAUUUCCUCUUUAGCACAUCAGGAAGACUUAGGGAGUUGGAGCUGAGCAUGUACUAAGCUAAAAUACCAGGUCAUAAUGAGCUUCUGUUUUUGAACAAAGUUCCAGAGGAAGGAUCUAGCCCUCCCAUCACUUCUCAAAGACCAAAUCAGACAACACUAGAUUUAGAAUCUUUCUUCCCUUCCCAUUCUUUAAAAAAAAAUUAAUAGAAGUUAAGGUCAUAUUUAUGUAAUUCACUUAUUCUUAAAAGAUCACCCGUUGGCCUUUCUUCUUAGUCUUCCAUUGACACGAAACAGAGAGAGAAUGGAUGAGAGAAUCAGACAAAGGCUGGGAGAGCACACAGAGAAAAAGAGAUCCAGACAGAAAGAGUCCAGAGACAGCCACUCAGUGGGAACUGGGACUAUGGAGAAGAGACCUAAGGCAUACAGGGACAAGAUGCAGGAUCUGCCUGGGCUGGGUGUUCUCCUGUAUUAGCCUGGGCUGGGCAUUUUCCUGUAUCAGCCUAUAGUACUGAAGCUGUACAAUACCAGGACUGCCCCAUCUCCACAGUGAGCAUUCAAGUAUAGUCCGGAAAAUAGACACAUUUGCUGUGAUCCACCCCUAGAUGGAGUUCUCGAAGGCUACUCUCCACCCCUCUAUCUCUGCCUCUGGCUUCAACAAGGGAGAGGAGAAAAGUCAGUGGAGUCAGAAGGUGUGGGCCUCUUCUCAGUUGGCCUGACAUACCACCUUGUGGCCUGGCUAUUUGGGGCAUUUGAGGCCAGUGUUAAACUCACAAAUGUGUGGUAGAGUCCUGGAGUGGAAACCGGGCCUAACUCCGACCCUAUCUGGCCCUUUCCAACAUAAAGAGGAAGAAUAGCAGUAUCAACAGCCAAGGGGAAUUUUGAUCAAGGGGACCAUUCUCCUUUCCUGGAAGCAAUCUGGGACACCUAGUGAUGGUCCCAGGUUCUAAGCCACAUUUCCAAGUAGGUAAGGUCACACCUCUGGGCUCAGGGAUAGGGUGUGGACCAAUGGGAGGACUGAAGUCUUCAGAAAACAAAACUUCCUUAUUAAGUAUGUCAAAGAGCACUAUGAAAGAGAACAGACUUUGGUAAUGAGGGAGGGGAGGCAGAGACAGGCAAGCUUGGAAGGGUGGUGAAGCCUCUAAGGCAGCCCAUGUGCCUUUCUCCAUCCAUUCACACUCCCCAUGCCUUAGAUUUCCAAGUGGAGCUAGAUGACUUGUGAGAAGGACUGUGGGUGCAGAGGAAAACCAGUAAUAGAAAGAAAUGGUUUAGAAGCCUGCUGGUAAGGAAGUGUGGGGCAGGUAUGGACAGGACAGGCCUAAGAGGA